rnacentral:rRNA from 1 species
GACAGAGGUGCCGAGCGUUAGGCGGAAUCACUGGGCUUAAAGCGUGUGUAGGCGGGCGGGCAAGUAACUUGUGAAAUCCCACGGCUCAACCGUGGAACGGCUGGGUAUACUGCCUGUCUUGAGCCAACUAGGGGCGAGCGGAACAGACGGUGGAGCGGUGAAAUGCGUAGAUAUCGUCUGGAACGCCAAAGGUGAAAACAGCUCGCUGGGGUUGUGCUGACGCUGAGACACGAAAGCCAGGGGAGCGAACGGG